rnacentral:misc_RNA from 1 species
UAAUAUGAAGAUACAUAAAUUUUAUAAGCCAAUCAAUGGAGUAGGAAUUUCAAUUCAUUCGAAAUGGUGCUCAACCACAUUGCAGUAUAUAUUGAGAUUCUGGACUAAUCAUCAAACAAUUAACAAUUGUAUUAAAGUUCAUUAAAGCAAAAACCACCGAAAAACCUCAGCCCCGAAUCAUGGUAUUAAUCUCUUAUUCUGAUACCGACUGUUGCAUACCUUAUCAAUUAAGGACUAGUUAUCAACAAAAACCCCAGUAAUUAAGGCCCGAUAUGACUCAUGUUUGUGGGUUACGGAGCUUCUUCCUUCCUUCAAUUUUACUUGUUUGUCUCAUCAAUCGCUGGGGAUUUCUCAUUUAAUGCAUUGCUGCUAGCGCUAGAUCAGAGAAUCAAAUGACCCCUUUGUUUUCUUGUGGGGCGUGUCAAUUCAUUUUUCAGAAAAUGUUCACACUCCUUGGCUUCAAAUUAACUCAGCACGCCUCUCCUCUGCAACUGCAAUAUCAGAAGUUUGAAUUGGGUUUCACUUCAUUUUCCAAGGGGUGGAUGCUGCUUGUGAUGAAAUCUACAGUCCUUCCCUUGAAGGACGGCCACAGAUAAAAUCAGAUCCAUUCUAUCAAGACGGCGCUGUAUAGAUUUUAAGAGAGAGUUCAAUAACGAAACUCUAUUUCUAACUCCUGAAAUCUUCUCAGCAUACUGCAUAACGAACGGAAAGGGCGCAUCUUCUAACAAUUGAUCAAGCUCUAAUACCACUCAAAAGACAUUAAAACUUUUCAUCUUUUAGAACACAUACACAAGAAAUUUUACAAGAAAUAGAGAAACCAGAAAUAAUUCAACAUCUUAGAUAGCAUGAUAACCUCGGGUAAGACUAUCUAUGGCGCAAUUAAGGUGGUCUUGGCUUUUGAGAGUGUCUUGAGCUUUAGAAUCGAAAUCCCUAAUACUGGCAAGCAUCAUAGAUAAACCCUUGGCCAAUGCAUCGCUGCUCUUGUUGUUUUCAUUGUCAGUAUUGGGCUCAGAUUGGUGUUCUUGAGGGUUGCUUUCACUGGGAUUGUUAUUGCCAUUAGAGGAAACCGGAGGCUCUAUUUGAACAGAAACAGCUAGGCUACUUUCGUCGCUGGGAUUGCAGCCGUCUUUUGGUGCUUCCAUUUACAGUGGGAAUUUCGAGUAUCGGAGCCAGGAAGAAAGAUGAAUUACACGUGGCAACAAACUAAGAAACUAGAAGAGGAUGGCUUCUAACGAA